UACGGAGGAUGCAAGCGUUAUCCGGAUUUACUGGGUUUAAAGGGUGCGUAGGCGGCUUUGUAAGUCAGUGGUGAAAGCUCCCAGCUUAACUGGGAAAUUGCCAUUGAUACUGCAUAGCUUGAGUACAGUUGAGGUAGGCGGAAUAUGUCAUGUAGUGGUGAAAUACUUAGAUAUGACAUAGAACACCGAUUGCGAAGGCAGCUUGCUAAACUGUAACUGACGCUGAGGCACGAAAGCGUGGGGAGCAAACAGG
rnacentral:rRNA from 1 species